UCAAUCAAUAUCUAAUUAUAUGUUCUGCACACACAUAUACAAAUAUGUCUAAGACAACCUAUAGAUCCACAAGUCCCGCCUCACUUUUUUCUUGUGGUUGAAGAUACGAUGCGUCGGAAACUCUGGUUAGAAUAUGCGUCCCAAGGUCUCGAAAAGAAGAUUGGAAGGUAGGUCUGAAAAGAUGGGUUCAAGAGCUUCGUAACGUUAUGUAGAUCGCUUGUGGAGAUUCUUGGAUCACCGGCAAAACGCUUCCGAAGUUAGCUUCUCGCAAAUCUGAUCUGUGCGGAUCUGCUUCAUAAAAACACACAUAACUUUCAAACUACAACUCUAAAUGAAGAUCUUCUAGCGGCUAUCACUAGAUCUGGGAGUCAUUAAUAUGCUUACCAAUUUUCAGGAUGAUCCGAUCCGAUUUUCCUAUCCAUUUCUCUUUUGCGCCAGAACAGGUUGGAUCUGCCUUUUAGAUGGCUAUAGUGGCUUCUCCUUAAAGCUUCAUUGCCAC
rnacentral:lncRNA from 1 species